CCUACGGGUGGCAGCAGUGGGGAAUAUUGCGCAAUGGGCGAAAGCCUGACGCAGCGACGCCGCGUGAGGGAUGAAGGUCUUCGGAUCGUAAACCUCUGUCAGCAGGGAAGAACGGUCAAUGUGCUAAUCAGCAGUGAAUUGACGGUACUUGAGGAGGAAGCCCCGGCUAACUCCGUGCCAGCAGCCGCGGUAAUACGUAGGGGGCUAGCGUUAUCCGGAAUUACGGGGCGGAAAGGGUGCGUAGGGGGUUUCUUAGUUCAGAGGGGAAAUGCUACGGCUCAAACGGAGUAAGCCUUUGAAACUGGUGAACUUGAGUGUAGGAGAGGAGAGUGGAAUUCCGAGUGUAGCGGUGAAAUGCGUAGAGAUUAGGAGGAACACCAGUGGCGAAGGCGGCUCUCUGGACUAUAACUGACACUGAGGCACGAAAGCGUGGGGAGCAAACAGGAUUAGAUACCCCAGUAGUC
rnacentral:rRNA from 1 species